UGUGGAGGAAAUUCCUAUAAGCUGGAAUAACUGCCUUCUCUCUGAGUACCCUUCCAAUGCUGAGAUUCUGUGACUCAACAACUAAUAAUAAUAAUAAUAAUAAUAAUAAUAAUGCUUCUACAGCAUUUCAAGGAUUACACAUUUAAUUCCAUACAACUCUAUUAUAUAGAUAAUGCAAGUAUUGCCUCCAUUUUAUAGAUAGGGAAACUGAGGUUUGAGGUAAAGGAACUUGCCCAAGGUCAUACAAUUAGUAAGGGACAGGGCCACAGCUCAAACCCAGAGCUCUCUGACUCUUAGGUCCUUAACUUGGGCUCUGCUAACUGGGUUUUUUUAAAAGAUAUUUUUAUAACUGUAUUUCAAUAAAAUUGUCUUCCUUUAUAAUUUUAUGUAUUUUAUUUUAUGCAUCUAGAAACAUGAUUCUGAGAAGGGGAAAUGAAAGUAAAUAAGCAUUUAUAUAGCACCUACUAUGUGCCAAGCACUGUUCUGAGCACUUUAUAAAUAUUUCAUUUGAUCCUCACAACCCUGAAAAAUAGAUGGUACUUUCCCCCCAUUUUAACAGAAGAGGAAACUGAGGCAAGUAAAGGUUAAAUGACUUGUCCAGGGUCACACAACUAGUAAAGGUAUGAGACCAGAUUUUAAUUCAGUUCCCCCUCACCCCAGGACCAGCACUGUAUUUACUAUACCACUUCUAACAGAAAUCUAUGGGCUUCACCAAACUGAGUGCCAAAGUUCAAAAUAGGUGAAGAACCCUGCUCUAAACCCAGUGAUCUUUGCAAUGAGCCACAGACUCAGUGGGGGCUGACAGCCAGUGGAACUUGGUGUGCCCCUGGGGAGAGAAAGAAGAGGACAGUGACUCUAAGGGAUUCUAAGUAGAGAAAUAUCUGUCCCUGAAGUGUCACUAGCAGGAAGAAGCUCUGGAAGAACAGGCAGGUAGUCUUGAAGAGGGAGAGGAAGAGAGAAAGGCACUGGGGAAUGUGGAAGAGAAGAGGGCAUGAGGAAAGACCAAGGCAUGUUAAUGAGCCUGGCUUAUGGACCAGGUGGUGCAAUGCCUGGCCUCAAUUCAGGAAGACACCUUUCUGAGUUCAAAUCUGGCCUCAGACACUUGCUAGCUGUGUGAUCCCAGGACUUAGCCCUCUUUACCUCAGUUUCCUCAUCUGUAAAAUGAUCUGGAGAAGGAAAUAGUAAACAACUUCAGUAUCUUUGCCAAGAAAACUCCAAAUGGGACCACUGAGAGUCAAACUAAAAUGACAGAACACCAACAACUAUGCAUCAAAAGAAAUUGUUAUUAAUUAAAGUUAAUUAAAAGAAUUCUAAGAAAGCAAGGAGAGGAGGCUAGGGAGGGUUUUAGACAAGCCUGGGAGAGCCCUGAAUGCAAUGGUGAAUCUAUCCUUUCUCCUGUGAAUCAUUUGAAACAAUGGUAGUUCCCUGAGAAGGUAGACUAUCGACUCAAGUCCUGUGUGUCUGUAGGAGGGAUGAAGAAGAAGCAACUGGAGAUAGGUGAGGAAUCCACUACAAUCAUCAAGUCAGGAAGGGUAGAGGUGUGAGCUCUUAUGGGUGGCCUUGGAGACAGAGAAGCAGGCUCUUAUCCUCUAUCCCCAGUUCUAUCAGUGUCUCUUCUCCUCCUCUUUCUGUACCUCUGUGUGUGACCCUCUAUACUUGGAAUCUCUCUCUGCCCUGUCUCUGUAUCUCCUGCACAUGAAGGGCUAAGACUAGAGACAGGGAGGCUGGUAAGGUAGCCACUCUAAUCAUCUGAUGAGGCUAAGGUCUGAGCUCAAGCAAAAGCCACAGCGAUGGAGAAAAAGAGACGAAUGACAGGAUUUCAGGAGUGACUGGAGGUGAGAAUGAGGAAAAGAGUCAGAAAUAGCCCAGAAAGUCAGAGGCGGUCCAUGGGGCUAGUGACAGAGCUAAAGUAUGUCAGAACAGAGGGAGAUUUAGAGGAAGAAAACAGUCUGUAUGGGAUACAGAGAUAGAAAGAGAUGGCUGGAAGGAUGAUGGAUCUACCAGGAAACUGGUGAGGGGACCCGGAGCAAUGAAAGGAACUGGGGGAUGUUUGGGAACUGGGAAGACAUGAUUGUUCUCUUCUAGGGCUUAAAGCACUAUCAUGUCUAAGAGAAGAUUAGAAUUGUUCUGCUUGGCCCCAGAGGGCAGAACAGGGAGCAAUAGAGGGGAAAGUCUAGGUGUUGCAGAGAGACAGAUUAAGGCAGAUCAUAAGGAAAACCAUCCUAACCAUAUAAGCCAUCCCAAAGUGGGAUAUAUUGUCUCUGUGAGGUCCCCAUCACAGGGUUCUGGAUGAUACUUGUCAAGGAUGUUGCAGGAAGGAUUCCAGCAGUGUACAGGCUGGACAUCCAGCCCUCUGAGGUCCCCUCCAGCUGGGAGAUUCUGCCACUUAAUCUUCCCAUCCCUGGCUGUGUGUGGUGGGCAGAUUGAUCUGCCCUUCUAUCUCUCUCUCUCUUCCCCCUACCCUCCAUGGGAAUUAUUUUUAGCCAUUCUCCCCCUCCCUACCAUGCACACCUUCCCUGAGAGGUCACAAUAGUCACAAAGCUCUUGUUGUGAUGGUUACGGGACACAGUGGGGAACUGGGAACCGAUGAACACGUCAGCUGAGCUCAUUAUGAAGAUCAUGUUAAUUAGUCCCUAUUAUUGUUAAUAAUGCCAACAGCACCUGUCAUCAGCUCAGCUAAGGUGCCCCCCUCCAAGGGGGUGGAGCUGCAUGCUCCUCAAAAGCCCAGGAACUCUAGCCUUCCCAUUGGCUCACUACCUUCAGGAGCCUUCUUAGGUUCCAGAUUUGGAACUCUCUUAAUGUCUCAUAUAAGCUUCUGGUCCUGCCAGUAGGAGGCAAAGGGUGAAGGGAGGAAGAAAGGAAGAGGAUUCCAUCCUAAAGUUCAGAGAGAUCUUAUAAGAGAAUUUGCACCAUCAUAAAAAGAACCUUCACCAACCUCAAGCCAAGCCUAAAGGCAAAUCUGUGACCUGCUCAUGUUGGCACAUCCGCCGCCACCACCUUCAACUCCCUUUCAUGACAUUCAUCAAGCUUUGCCUGAUAAUCGCUGAGCACCCUGUGCUGAGCUCCAACUCUGGGAAAUAAGAGGAGGACCAAAACCCUUCACCCUGCCCUCAGGGAGCGCCCAGUCUGGGAAGACGAUCUGACAGUCACACAUCAAACUCCCAUGGAAAGAGUGUUGAAUGUAGAGUCA